rnacentral:rRNA from 1 species
CUACGGAGGGUGCAAGCGUUAAUCGGAAUCACUGGGCGUAAAGCGCGCGCAGGCGGCUAUUUAAGUUGGAUGUGAAAGCCUACGGCUCAACCGUAGAACUGCAUCCAAAACUAUUUAGCUAGAGUGUGGGAGAGGAAGAUGGAAUUAGUUGUGUAGGGGUAAAAUCCGUAGAGAUAACUAGGAAUACCAAAAGCGAAGGCAAUCUUCUGGAACACUACUGACGCUGAGGCGCGAAAGCGUGGGGAGCAAACAGAAUUAGAAACCCUUGUAGUCC